UAGGCGACGUUCAAAUAGCUAGGGAUGG
rnacentral:sRNA from 1 species